AGGUCAAAUGUAACUGGCUGUUCUCAGCUCCUUUAAAUGUAACAUAAAGAAAACCACUGUGGCAAGCAACUACAAACCGUUUUAUGAGACUCCUGAGUCAGUCCUAUCUGAAUGCCACUGACUGUGUGGGCUUUUAUUUAAGAUAUAUAAGUGCUUAUGGUCAGUGUUCUGAUUCAGACUGCUUAGAAUGCAACCACUUGUUCAUUUCCUGGAGAGCUUGUAAGUGGCCCUCUCACCCCCCACAGAUAACAGCUCGUCCUGGGAAACAAAAACAGAACAAUGUUCCUUUUGUCCUUCAGGCCCCAGACAUUGAGUUUACUGUAAGUUUCUUCAGAAGAAAACAUUAAUCCUCCAGAAAGUUGGAGCCAAGGAGAACCAAGGAGCACAGUCAGCCUUAAAUCCAACAUUCAGGCCUCUUUUAUUUAUUUAUUAAAAUUUGAUUUAACCUUUAUUUAACUCUUGGCUAAUGCCUCUGUGGAUAGAGCCAUUCAAUGGCUGAUUCAGAGAGAUAGCAUCAUCAUUGGUAUAAGAAUCACUAUCUAGGGGAUUAGCACUUUAUAAUGGACAUAUAAUAGCCACAAUUUCUGUAGAUUGUCUCUGGUAUAAAAAGCAAUAAGUUCAAAUUGAAAAUCCCUUGCAUCCUUAGGUAUGACAGAUUUGGGGAUUCCAUGUCUGCAAUUUCAGCUGGAUCUGCUGUCUCAGCUACUGAGGAGAGGCAACGAUGGGGAGAUUGAUUACAGGGACAUGCGCAACCAACUACAGAGAGUAAGGUAAAGCAAAAUCAGCAUUCUAUUCAAAUCAAAUCAAAUUGUAUUUGUCACAUGCGCCGAAUACAACAGGUGUAGUCAUUACAGUGAAAUGCUUACUUACAAGCCCUAACCAACAAUGCAGUUAAAUAAAAGUAAUAAAUAAUUAAAGAGCAGCAGUAAAAUAACAAUAGCGAGGCUAUAUACAGGGGUGCUGGUACAGAGUCAAUGUGUGGGGGCACCGGUUAGUCGGGGUAAUUGAGGUAAUAUGUACAUGUAGGUAGAGUUAUUAAAGUGACUAUACAUAGAUACGUAAUAACAGAGAGUAGCAGCAGUGUGAAAGGGGGGAGGGCAAUGCAAAUAGUCUGGGUAGCCAUUUGAUUAGAUGUUCAGGAGUCUUAUGGCUUGGAGGCAGAAGCUGUUUAGAAGCCUCUUGGACCUAGACUUUGCAGUUCAGUACAGCUUGCCAUGCGGUGGCAGAGAGAACAGUCUAUGACUAGGAUGGUUGGAGUCUUUGACAAUUUUUAGGGCCUUCCUCUGAUAUCGCCUGGUAUAGAGGUCCUGGAUGGCAGGAAGCUUGGCCCCAGUGAUGUACAGGGCCGUACGCACUAUCCUCUGUAGUGCCUUGCGGUCGGAGUCCGAGCAGUUGCCAUGCCAGGCAGUGAUGCAACCCGUCAGGAUGCUCUCGACGGUGCAUCUCUAAAACCUUUUGAGGAUCUGAGGACCCAUGCCAAAUCUUUUCAGUCUCCUGAGAAGGAAAGGUUUUGUCGUGCCCUCUUCACGACUGUCUUGGUGUGCUUGGACCAUGUUCGUUUGUUGGUGAUGUGGACACCAAGGAACUUGAAGCUCUCAACCUGCUCCAGCACCGUUGAUGAGAAUGGGGGCGUGCCCGGUCCUCCUGUUCCUGUAGUCCACAAUCAUCUCCUUUGUUUUGAUCACGUUGAGGGAGAGGUUGUUGUCCUGGCACCACAUGGCCAGGUCUCUGACCUCCUCCCUAUAGGCUGUCUCGUCAUUGUCGGUGAUCAGGCCUACUGUUGUGCUGUUGUGUCAUAUGCAAACUUAAUGAUGGUGUUGGAGUCGUGCCUGGCCUUGCAGUCAUGAGUGAACAGGGAGUACAGGAGGGGACUGAGCACGCACACCUGAGGGGUCCCCAUGUUGAGGAUCAGAGUGGUGGAUGUGUUGUUACCUACCCUUAGCACCUGGGAGCGACCCGUCAGGAAGUACAGGAUCCAGUUGCAGAAGGAUAUGUACAGUCCCAGGGUCCUUAGCUUAGUGAUGAGCUUUGAGAGCACUGUGGUGUUAAACUCUGAGCUGUAGUCAAUGAAGCAUUCUCACAGCAUUCUCACAUAGGUGUUCCUUUUGUCCAGGUGGGAAAGGGCAGUGUGGAGUGCAAUAGAGAUUGCAUCGUCUGUGGAUCUGUUAGGGGGGUAUGCAAAUUGGAGUGGGUCUAAAGUUUCUGGGAUAAUGGUGUUGAUGUGAGCCAUGACCAGCCUUUCAAAGCAGUUCAUGGCUACAGACGUGAGUGCUACUGGUCGGUAGUCAUUUAGGCAGGUUACCUUAGUGUUCUUUGGCACAGGGACUAUGGUGGUCUGCUUAAAACAUGUUGGUAUUACAGACUCAGACAGGGAGAGGUUGAAAAUGCCAGUGAAGACACUUGCCAGUUGGUCAGCGCAUGCUCGGAGUAAACGUCCUGGUAAUACGUCUGGCCCUGCGGCCUUGUGAAUGUUGACCUGCUUAAAGGUCUUACUCACAUCGGCUGCGGAGAGCGUGAUCACACAGUCAUCCGGUGUAGCUGAUGCUCUCUUGCGUGUUUCAGUGUUACUUGCCUUGAAGCGAGCAUAGAAGUAAUUUAGCUCGACUGGUAGGCUUGUGUUACUGGGAAGCUCUUAGCUGUGCUUCUCUUGGUAGUCUGUAAUAGUUUGCAAGCCCUGCCACAUCCGCCGAGCAUCGGAGCCGGUGUAGUACGAUUCGAUCUUAGUCCUGUAUUGACACUUUGCCUGUUUGAUGUUUCGUUGGAGGGCAUAGUGAGAUUUCUCAUAAGCUUCCGGGUUAAAGUCCCGCUCUUUGAAAGUGGCAGCUCUACCUAUUAGCUCAGUGCGGAUGUUGCCUGUAAUCCAUGGCUUCUGGUUGGGGUAUGUACGUACAGUCACUGUGGGAACGACAUCAUCGAUGCACUUAUUGAUGAAGCCGGUGACUGAUGGGGUGCACUCCUCAAUGCCAUCGGAAAAAUUCCGGAACAUAUUCCAGUCUGUGCUAGCAAGCAAGUCCUGUAGCUUAGCAUCUGCUUCAUCUGACCACUUUUUUAUUGACCGAGUCACUGGUGCUUCAUGCUUUAAUUUGUGCUUCUAAGCAGGAAUCAGGAGGAUAGAAUUAUGGUCAGAUUUGCCAAAUGGAGGGCGAGGGAGAGCUUUGUACAUGUCUCUGUGUGUGGAGUACAGAUGGUCUAGAGUUAUUUUUCCUCUGGUUGCACAUUUAACAUACUGGUGGAAAUUUGGUAAAACUGAUUUAAGUUUCCCUACAUUAAAGUCUCCGGCCACUAGGAGCGCCACCUCUGGAUGUGCAUUUUCCUGUUUGCUUAUCGCAGUAUACAGCUCAUUGCGUGUGGUCUUAGUGCCAGUAUCGGUCUGUGGUGGUAUGUAGACAGCUAUGAAAAAUACAGAUGAAAACUCUCUCGGUAGAUAGUGUGGUCUACAGCUUAUCAUCAGAUACUCUACCUCAGGCAAACAAAACCUUGAGACUUCCUUAGAUAUCGUGCACCAGCUGUUGUUUACAAAUAUACAUAGACCGCCACCCCUUGUCUUACCAGAGGCUGCUGUUCUAUUCUGCCGAUACAGUGUAAAACCCGCCAGCUGUAUGAUGUUCAUGUCGUCGUUCAGGCACGGUGAAACAUAAGAUAUUACAGUUUUUAAUGUCCCGUUGGUAGUUUAAUCUUGCUCGUAGGUCAUCGAUUUUAUUUUCCAAUGAUUGCAUGUUUGCCAAUAGAACGGAUGGCAGUGGGGUUUGACUUGCUCACCUACGAAUUCUCUGAAGGCAGCCCGACCUCCGCCCCCUUUUUCUCUGUCUUCUCUUCAUGCAAAUGACGGAGAUUUGGGCCUGUUCCCUGGAAAGCAGUAUAUCCUUCACGUCGGACUCGUUGGACUCGUUAAAGGAAAAAGCUACUACCAGUUCGUGAGUGGAGGGUAAGGAUGAGAGAGAAGAGAAUGAUGUUCCCUGCUGUUUGGAGAUCACUAGAGAGAAGCUACAGCCCAGUCCUAACUGUCAGCUAGGAUUGUGGAGCCCACCACCACCUGAGACAAACAGGUUUAUUCUUCUGAGUAUCAGACUUAUACCAUUUGACUACGGAGGAGUCCAUCCAGGGAGCUUUGAGGUGGUGCUUCCCAGGAGCACCAGGGUGUCCAGCCUGUUCAGGGUGAUCGAGGAGCGGGUUGGGAUCCAGACCACCAGCCUGCAGGUGUUCAGAACCAGAGUUCCCUCCCAGGAGUCCUUCCUACCGCCAGACAGCUCUCUGGGGCAGUGUGGCUUCACUGGAGGCCCUGAGGACUCACCCAGACAGGCAACACUGUUCUAUGACUACAGGCUGGAGUUAACUGACUGCCCCAUCCUCAACUGUGACCACUACUUUGGUUCUAAGCAACCUCAGAUUGGGGAGGACUACUUUGCAUCAAGGCCUGUCUAGGUGACCUGUAUAACUUAUAGCAUCAGCUGUGUAAUUUACUAUAUCAGCACUUUUUUGAUGUACAGAUUUCUCUUUGUGUGACUAGCACCAUGAAGCAAUUACAGUUGAUAAUUGGCUGUGUUUAGCUAAUUAUUAAAUCUGAUAAUUAAAAGUGUAUUAAUGUCAGCGUUAUACCAGGGGAGAAAAUGGAUGACUUGGGCAGAACACUCCUUACAAUCAGCAGCUUCUGACAUAGUUUCGUGUUUACCUGCAAGCAUGAAGUAUGCAAAGUGUGAGAUUGCCUUUUUAAUGCCAAAACAACCAUUUUCCUAUAGGCCUCAGGGCACAGUGGAGAACCCUGGGUUGUGUCAAAUUGAGUGUUGUAGUGGAAAGUGCUGCUCUAGUGGAAACCAAAGGGCACUAUAAAUGGCGGGUCUUGUGGUGGCCCACUAAAGUGUGUCUGCCCUGAGUGAGACACACCCUUGGUUUCCUGCUACCUCCCCCUGUUUAAAAGUACUUGGUCAACAGCUGGAGUUCUUAUUCACCCCAAAGUGUGCCGUUGCUUUAUUUGGACUUGUUACGUCCCACGCCGUAGAGUGUUCAACCAUCUGGGGAUGCAGGUUGUACUGUCUGUGAGGCAACAACCUCUAUGGGUAGAAGGCAAUGUAGGGAAUAACUCAGGAAUUUUGGAGCUCUCAUUUUGCUUUAAAAUCGAAAUAACAUUUAUUUAAUAUGUUCAAAAAUACUGGACAAUAUAAGUAUAAAAAAAUGGAAUACUCUUUUAUUUGUCAUCAAUAAAAUUGAAGACUUAACACUGUUAA